rnacentral:tRNA from 1 species
GUGGCCUUGGUGUAGCGGCUCUGCAUAUUGCGCUGUGAACGCAAAGGUUCCGGAUCGACCCCGGAAGGUCACCCCA